rnacentral:rRNA from 1 species
AUUGCCCUAGUAACGGCGAGUGAAGCGGCAACAGCUCAAAUUUGAAAUCUGGCCUUCGGGUCCGAAUUGUAAUUUGUAGAGGAAGCUUUUGGUUAGGUACCUUUCGAGUUCCUUGGAACAAGGACGCCUUAGAGGGUGAGAGCCCCGUACGAUUGGAUGCCGAGCCUUUGUAUAGCUCCUUCGACGAGUCGAGUAGUUUGGGAAUGCUGCUCUAAAUGGGAGGUAAAUUUCUUCUAAAGCUAAAUACCGGCCAGAGACCGAUAGCGCACAAGUAGAGUGAUCGAAAGAUGAAAAGCACUUUGAAAAGAGGGUUAAAUAGUACGUGAAAUUGUUGAAAGGGAAGGGUUUAUGACCAGACCUUUGCUUUGCGGAUCAUCCGGUGUUCUCACCGGUGCACUUCGCUUAGUUGAGGCCAGCAUCGAUUUUGGUAGGGGGAUAAAGACUUUGGGAAUGUGACUCUUCGGAGUGUUAUAGCCCUUUGUGUAAUACCCUUACCGGGAUCGAGGACCGCGCUUUUGCAAGGAUGCUGGCAUAAUGGUCAUCAACCACCCGUCUUGAAACACGGACCAAGGAGUCGAACAUUUAUGCGAGUGUUUGGGUGUUAAACCCUCACGCGUAAUGAAAGUGAACGGAGGUGAGAGCCUUAUGGUGCAUCAUCGACCGAUCCUGAUGUCUUCGGAUGGAUUUGAGUAAGAGCAUAACUGUUCGGACCCGAAAGAUGGUGAACUAUGCGUGGAUAGGGGAAGCCAGAGGAAACUCUGGGGAGGCUCGCAGCGGUUCUGACGGCAAAUCGAUCGUCAAAUCUGCGCAUGGGGGCGAAAGA